GUCCUGUUGAGUGUUGUGGAACACCACAUUGGCAAUGAGAAAGUUGAUGAAGAAAUUAUCAUCGCAGAUGAAAUCCCGGCCACCAUUUUAGAAACGACAAUGGAGGUAAUGAAUUACUUCGCAAAACAGCGUCAGGCAUUCAUGCAGCUGCUAAAUACUGACAAUGAAAAAUCUAAAAAAUCCGCCAGCGCCGACCCUGGGCCAUCGUCCCAAAUAGAAGAAACAUCUUCAACUGAAAUGAUGCAAUGUUUUGGAGAAUGGUUUGUUGAGCGAUUUCAAAAUUAUAAGAAAGAAGAUCUUUACAAGUUCGCCCGCGAAAA